rnacentral:tRNA from 1 species
GCCUGGUUAGCUUAGUUGGUAGUGCGUCUGCCUUGUGAGCGCUAGGCCGCGGGUUCGAUUUCCGCCCGGGGCG